ACGGGGGGAGCAAGCGUUGUUCGGAUUUACUGGGCGUAAAGGGCGCGUAGGCGGCCUCCGCAAGUCAGUUGUGAAAUCUCCGAGCUUAACUCGGAAAGGUCAACUGAUACUGCGGGGGCUAGAGUGCGGAAGGGGCAACUGGAAUUCUUGGUGUAGCGGUGAAAUGCGUAGAUAUCGGGAGGAACACCUGUGGCGAAGGCGGCCCCCUGGUCGGAUACUGACGCUGAGACGCGAAAGCGUGGGGAGCAAACAGGA
rnacentral:rRNA from 1 species